GUGUCAGCAGCCGCGGUAAUACGGAGGAUGCAAGCGUUAUCCGGAAUUAUUGGGCGUAAAGCGUCCGCAGGUGGUUGUACAAGUCUGCUGUUAAAGCGUCCAGCUUAACUGGAUACAGGCAGUGGAAACUGUGCGACUAGAGUUUGGUAGGGGUCACGGGAAUUCCCAGUGUAGCGGUGAAAUGCGUAGAUAUUGGGAAGAACACCAGCGGCGAAAGCGCGUGACUGGGCCUGAACUGACACUCAUGGACGAAAGCUAGGGGAGCGAAAGGGAUUAGAAACCCCUGUAGUCC
rnacentral:rRNA from 1 species